rnacentral:lncRNA from 1 species
CACCUAGAUGUGCUUCUGGGAAUAUUCAACAUUAAAAACAAAUUAUUUUAAUUUUAAUUGUAGAUUCUGUGGCAAAUAUGAUACACAGAGCCAAAGAAGAUCCUAUACCCUUGAAGGCCCAGACCAAAUCUACCAUGACAGGUAAAGAGUGUCUGUACCAGAUGAUUAUUUAGUGAUUGAAAAUGCUGUCUGUCAUAUGGCAUCUUUGCAAUGUCCUUGUGAAAAUAGAUGCAUUUUUACUGGUGUCCCUGUGGUUUUGUUUGUCCCUAAUGCAAUGGUGACAGUCCCGGGGCCCUAUUGCUCUCAGCCACCUCUGGUUCCUGUGCAAUGUACUGUGUCCUUCAUUAUAUAUUCUGGUCCCAUCUGGUCUGACAAGCCUUCUCCAUCCUCAGAAGCGAUUACAAAUAAUAAUGAUGACAAAACCCAGAGAAUUUUUGCUUUAUUUUGAAAAUGAUUGUUUUGUGUUGCAUGGUGGUGCUUCCUGCCUCUCUCUGGGGUCGCCUGGCAACCAUUUGCUAGCCUCCUGCCAUCAGAUCCCUAUCGAGCAAGGGCAUCUGGAAGCUCAUUUGGGAUGAGAACUGCUCCCUUUCACCAUCCCUGCUGGCCUUCUGUGGGCAGAGAUGCCCUGUGACUGUUCCUGUCUGAUCACAUUCCCCACUCUCCUCACCCUGAAGCUAACAUCUCUGCACUGGCUGGAGUAAGCCCAAAGGUUGUUAAACUCUGGUUUGGCUACUGGGUUUUGCUACAGGAAUGAAAGUGGAAGAAUGCCUUGUGCUGAUCCACACCUUGCCUCGGCAGUGCUUUUCUCAGGAUCACAAAGCUGUGGGUCCACUUUGGCCUCUGCUCAACAGCUCAGGUGUAGCAUCAGGAACACCUCAAGAACUGCUCUUGCUGAUGCUCUCUGUUGUAAUAUCCACCCUCAGGAACCAACAUUUCUAACUUGGACAACUGAAACUUGCUGGAAAACGGAGCAGACUUCCUGUGUGAAGGAAAUGGAUGCCACAUAUAGAAACAAAAGUUACUGGAACACUGCUGUACACUAG